rnacentral:rRNA from 1 species
GACGAACGCUGGCGGCGUGCUUAACACAUGCAAGUCGAACGGAAAGGCCCUGCUCUUGUGGGGUGCUCGAGUGGCGAACGGGUGAGUAACACGUGAGUAACCUGCCCUUGACUGUGGGAUAACUUCAGGAAACUGGGGCUAAUACCGGAUAGGAGCUCCUGCUGCAUGGUGGGGGUUGGAAAGUUUCGGCGGUAGGGGAUGGACUCGCGGCUUAUCAGCUUGUUGGUGGGGUAGUGGCUUACCAAGGCUUUGACGGGUAGCCGGCCUGAGAGGGUGACCGGCCACAUUGGGACUGCGAUACGGACCAGAAUCCUACGGGAGGCAACGGUGGGGAAUCUUGCACAAUGGGCGGAAGCCUGAUGCAGCGACGCCGCGUGCGGGAUAACGGCCUUCGAGUUGUAAACAGCUUUCGACUGUGACGAAGCGUGAGUGACGGUAAUGGGUAAAGAAGCACCGGCUAACUACGUG